rnacentral:tRNA from 1 species
AAGACUUUAAGUUAAUAAAACUCUUAUCCUUCAAAGCUAAAAAUAAAGAAAUUAUCUUUAAGUCUUA